GACGAACGCUGGCGGCGUGCUUAACACAUGCAAGUCGAGCGGUAAGGCCCUUUCGGGGUACGACGAGCGGCGAACGGGUGGAGUAACACGUGGGUGACCUCGCCCUCCAGCUCUGGGAGUAAGCCGUCGGGAAACCGGGGUACUAAUACUGGAUAUGACUCCAUGACGCAUGUUGGUGGGGUGGAAAGCCUUGUGCGGCUGAGGAUGGGCCCGCGGCCUAUCAGCUUGUUGGGUGGGGUGAGGCCUACCAAGGCGACGACGGGUAGCCGGCCUGAGAGGGCGACCGGCCACACUGGGA
rnacentral:rRNA from 1 species